UCUGUACUCCUUGGAGUCUUGAAGGAUGAGGGGCCACCUCAUUGAAACUUACCGAAGAGUGAAAGGCCUGGAUCGAGUGGAUGUGGAGAGGAUGUUUCCACAGGUUGG